GACGAACGCUGGCGGCGUGCUUAACACAUGCAAGUCGAACGGAAAGGCCCUGCUUUCGUGGGGUGCCCGAGUGGCGAACGGGUGAGUAACACGUGAGUAACCUGCCCUUGACUUUGGGAUAACUUCAGGAAACUGGGGCUAAUACCGGAUAGGAGCUCCUGCUGCAUGGAGGGGGUUGGAAAGUCUCGGCGGGUGGGGAUGGACUCGCGGCUUAUCAGCUUGCUGGUGGGGUAGUGGCUUACCAAGGCUUUGACGGGUAGCCGGCCGGAGAGGGUGACCGGCGACAUUGGGACUGAGAUACGGCCCAGACUCCUACGGGAGGCAGCAGUGGGGAAUAUUGCACAAUGGGCGGAAGCCUGAUGCAGCAACGCCGCGUGCGGGAUGACGGCCUUCGGGUUGUAAACCGCUUUCGCCUGUGACGAAGCGUGAGUGACGGUAAUGGGUAAAGAAGCACCGGCUAACUACGUG
rnacentral:rRNA from 1 species